rnacentral:rRNA from 1 species
GACGAACGCUGGCGGCGUGCUUAACACAUGCAAGUCGAACGGAAAGGCCCUGCUUGCCGGGUACUCGAGUGGCGAACGGGUGAGUAACACGUGGGUGAUCUGCCCUGCACUUCGGGAUACGCCUGGGAAACUGGGUCUAAUACCCGACAGGAGCCAUUUUUAGUGUGAUGGUUGGAAAGUUUUUUCGGUUUCGGAUGAGCCCGCGUCCUAUCAGCUGGUUGGUGGGGUAAUGGCCUACCCACGCGGCGUCGGGUAGCCGGCCGGAGAGGGUGGACGGGCAUCUUGAUACUGAGCCACGGCCCGGCCCCCUACUGGAGGCAGGCGUGGGGAAUAUUGCACAAUGGGCGCAAGCCUGAUGCAGCGACGCCGCGUGGGGGAGUACGGCCUUCGGGUUGUAAGCCCCUUUCGCUAGGGACGAAGCUUUUUGUGACGGUACCUAGAUAAGAAGCCCCGGCUAACUACGUG